UACAAUGCAAGUCGAGGGGUACAGGUGUUGCUUGCAACCCGCUGACGACCGGCGCACGGGUGCGUAACGCGUAUGCAACCUACCUUCUACAGGGGGAUAGUCAAUACAAAUGUUGAAUAAUACCCCAUACGAUCAUAUAAUCUAGCAUGGUAUUGACUGAGGAAAGUUCCGGCGGUAGAAGAUGGGCAUGCGUCCUAUUAGUUAGUUGGUAAGGUAACGGCUUACCAAGACGUACGAUAGGUAGGGGUCCUGAGAGGGAGAUCCCCCACACUGGUACUGAGACACGGACCACACUCCUACGGGAGGCAGCAGUGAGAGAAUAUUGGACAAUGGAGGCAACUCUGAUCCAGCCAUGCCGCGUGCAGGAAGACGGACCUAAUGGGUUGUAAACUGCUAUUAUACAGGAAGAAUACGUACCUACGUGUAGGUAUUCGACGGUACUGUACGACUCAGGAUCGGCUAACUCCGUGACCAACAGCCGCGAGUACUACCGAGGAUCCAAGCGCUUAUCCCGGAAACACUAGGGUAACAAGGGCUCCGUAAGCGGACUGAUAAGUCAGAGGUGACACGCUGCACAUCACUGCAGCCUGC
rnacentral:rRNA from 1 species